GAAAUUAUUUUUUUCUUGUUUGGAACAAUUUGUUGGUAAUGCAUGAACCCCAUCAUCAUUGAGAGGCUACAGCGAAAGCUGGGUUACACGUUUCAAC
rfam:Pragia fontium strain 24613, complete genome.